UCGCACGUACUUCCGCUUUCACUAACAGAUCCCCCUCCCCAGCUCGAACUCGUUCCUCUGAUUCAUCCCUCCACAGUUUCGUCUCCGCGCGUCGUCGAGCUCCGGCCUCCAAACUUUAAAACAACAACAACAACCCGUGAACACGUGGUGGUGGUGGUGCUGCUGAAGUAGUUCGACAUGCGGGUGUUGCUGCUGUUCGCGGUGGCGGUGCUCAGCCUGAGCCCGGCGGCGGUGAGCGGCGCCGACAAGAAGAAGCUGCAGAUCGGCAUCAAGAAGCGCGUGGACCACUGCCCCGUCAAGUCGCGCAAGGGCGACGUGCUCAACAUGCACUACACGGGCCGCCUGGAGGACGGCACCGAGUUCGACAGCAGCAUCCCCCGCGACAGGCCCUUCACCUUCACGCUGGGCACCGGGCAGGUGAUCAAGGGCUGGGACCAGGGCCUGCUGGGCAUGUGCGAGGGCGAGAAGAGGAAGCUCGUCAUCCCCGCCGAGCUCGGCUACGGGGACCGGGGCGCGCCGCCGAAGAUCCCCGGCGGAGCGACGCUCAUCUUCGAGGUGGAGCUGCUCAGCAUCGAGCGGAGGUCCGAGCUGUGAUGGAGGAGGAGGAAGGAGGGAAAUCUCGACACGUACGUUUUGGCAACAUGUAGAAAAGUUCCAGGAGGUGCUGUUGCGACGUGAUCAUCUGACCCCCUGAUGAAGACCACAAGGCAAACCUGAGAGCAGAGUUGGCACCUCACCUCACCCCUCCCCCCAACCUGAGCCACUGUCCUCUUUUUCAGCGGCUCCACUAAUUAUGCUCUGAUUUAUCGGAAUGAUGGGAAUGAAGUUACUGUGACACGAGAGCCGACUGUGUCCUCGGCAAUCAUUAUUGGAACUGACAGUUGGCGGUCAAGGCCACGGUCGAAUGAUAAUAACACCAUACCCUGCUGUUUCAUCUGACUUAUCUUUUUUUAAUUUUCUGGGAUUUAUAAAUGGUUUCCUUUGUUAUUCAUACAUUCUUACUUUCAAAAUGAUUUAGGUCGUUGAUUUUGGACUUUAGGCCAGGGAAGGAUCAGGAUAAAUGUUUUGUUUUUCCGUCACAAUAUUUGAGUUCUUCUAAUAAAGUGAUGACCUUCCGAGAA